CUUGCUGGUGAGGUGGAAAAUCUUUCUCUGUUCCAAGCAGGGUGCACCUCCCCAUCUGCGUCAGAGACGGUAGGUGGUGCUGUGGUGUUAAAAGCUGAUUAAAGCAGGGGGUGAAAGUCCCACAGAGAAAAAAGUGACCCAAGUGCAGAGGGCUGGGGAGAGGAGUUUAAAGAAGGGCAGGAAUAUGCAUCCUCAUUCAGUGUCUUUCCAAUUCGGGUGCUACAGAGGAAAACCACAGCAUGGAAUGAGCGCAAAACUAAGUGAUCGUGCAUGA
rnacentral:lncRNA from 1 species